rnacentral:rRNA from 1 species
ACCAGACGAUGCGGUUACCGCGGCUGCUGGCACGGAGUUAGCCGGUGCUUCUUCUGUGAGUGAUGUCCUUCCUGCCGGCUAUUAACCCGCAGGCCUUCUUCCUCACUGAAAGUGCUUUACAACCCGAAGGCCUUCUUCACACACGCGGCAUGGCUGGAUCAGGGUUGCCCCCAUUGUCCAAUAUUCCCCACUGCUGCCUCCCGUAGGAGUCUGGGCCGUGUCUCAGUCCCAGUGUGGCUGAUCAUCCUCUCAGACCAGCUACGGAUCGUCGCCUUGGUGAGCCGUUACCUCACCAACCAGCUAAUCCGACAUAGGCUCAUCCGAUAGCGCGAGGCCCGAAGGUCCCCCGNUUUCCCCCGUAGGGCGUAUGCGGUAUUAGCCUGGGUUUCCCCAGGUUAUCCCCACUACCGGGCAGAUUCCUAUGCAUUACUCACCCGUCCGCCGCUCGCCACCAGGGAGCAAGCUCCCCGUGCUGCCGCUCGACUUGCAUGUGUUAGGCCUGCCGCCAGCGUUCAAU